rnacentral:tRNA from 2 species
GCCCGGGUGGCGGAAUUGGUAGACGCGUCGGACUCAAAAUCCGAUGGCCUUCGGGUCUUGUGGGUUCGAGUCCCACCCCGGGUA